GCUCAACAAGACUGGCGAUCACAUCGCUCUAUUCUGAUGGCUUAUAUCCUCAUUGUUAACCCUGUAGGAAUGAGAAGGGCCGAUUACAGCGAAGGGAUCGAUGUCCCAGAAGUCUGAAAAGCUUCACUUUGCAAACUAUCUGACAUGCUUCAUUUGACGAGAUGGAUAUACAAGUCGAGAGUUGUUAUAAAGUUGAGGAAUCUCUUUACUUGGUGGUCAUUCAUAGCCAAGCCAAAUACAAAUACAAGUUGAAUUAUUUGCAGCGUGUGAUAGCAGUAGCACAUUCACGUAAUGUGCCACCAUCUUUGCAAUGCAAAGCACUUCUUUCAGCCAGCUACGGAUAGUCGAAAGAUCGCAAUGAAUGCAAGUCCUUCCUCAUCAUGUGAACAAUAGUUAAUUUAAUCUACAGUCAGUUUUUCAAGACAGUACCUACCACCGAGGAUUGGCCAAUUGAUCUGUUUCACUAUGUUCUUUUUUGCAGAAAUUCACAUUUGAAUAUCUUCCUUUUACAUUUUUUGGCGAACUCUGUGAUGUAGUUGGUCUCUGGAAUUCAAUUGAAAUACCUUCUUUCAAUUAUGAUUUAUUGCUUUCAAUGCCGUCAAUAUCUUCAAUUCAAUUCUGCCUCUUGUUACCAACGAAGAAGGAGACAAGAUCGGAAAAUUUGCUGACGAUGGUAUUUGGCUGGACGAAGAAAAACCGUCGCCUUUUUCUCUUUA